GGGGGAACCCUGAUCCAGCCAUGCCGCGUGUGUGAAGAAGGCCUUAUGGUUGUAAAGCACUUUAAGCGAGGAGGAGGCUACUGAGACUAAUACUCUUGGAUAGUGGACGUUACUCGCAGAAUAAGCACCGGCUAACUCUGUGCCAGCAGCCGCGGUAAUACAGAGGGGUGCGAGCGUUAAUCGGAUUUACUGGGCGUAAAGCGUGCGUAGGCGGCUGAUUAAGUCGGAUGUGAAAUCCCUGAGCUUAACUUAGGAAUUGCAUUCGAUACUGGUCAGCUAGAGUAUGGGAGAGGAUGGUAGAAUUCCAGGUGUAGCGGUGAAAUGCGUAGAGAUCUGGAGGAAUAGCGAUGGCGAAGGCAGCCAUCUGGCCUAAUACUGACGCUGAGGUACGAAAGCAUGGGGAGCAAACAGGAUUAGAUACCCUGGUAGUCCAUGCCGUAAACGAUGUCUACUAGCCGUUGGGGCCUUUGAGGCUUUAGUGGCGCAGCUAACGCGAUAAGUAGACCGCCUGGGGAGUACGGUCGCAAGACUAAAACUCAAAUGAAUUGACGGGGGCCCGCACAAGCGGUGGAGCAUGUGGUUUAAUUCGAUGCAACGCGAAGAACCUUACCUGGCCUG
rnacentral:rRNA from 1 species